rnacentral:rRNA from 1 species
AAUCAACGCUGGCGGCGUGCCUCAGACAUGCAAGUCGAACGAUUAAAGCUCUCUUCGGAGAGUGCAUAAAGUGGCGCACGGGUGAGUAACACGUAAGUAAUCUACCUUCGAGUGGGGAAUAACGUCCGGAAACGGACGCUAAUACCGCAUAAUGCAGCGGCAUCGCAAGAUGACAGUUGUUAAAGAUUUAUCGCUUGAAGAGGAGCUUGCGGCAGAUUAGCUAGUUGGUAAGGUAAUGGCUUACCAAGGCUACGAUCUGUAACCGGUCUAAGAGGACGGUCGGUCACACUGACACUGAAUAACGGGUCAGACUCC